AUUGAACGCUGGCGGCAGGCCUAACACAUGCAAGUCGAACGAGUGGCGGACGGGUGAGUAAUGUCUGGGAAACUGCCUGAUGGAGGGGGAUAACUACUGGAAACGGUAGCUAAUACCGCAUACCAUCGGAUGUGCCCAGAUGGGAUUAGCUAGUAGGUGGGGUAAAGGCUCACCUAGGCGACGAUCCCUAGCUGGUCUGAGAGGAUGACCAGCCACACUGGAAAUAGGACACGGUCCAGACAUCUACGGGAGGAAGCAGUGGGGAAUAUUGCACAAUGGGCGCAAGGCUGAUGCGGCACUGCCGCGUGUAUGAAGAAUGCCUUCGGGUUGUAAAGUAAUUUCAGCGGGGAGGCGUUACCCGCAGAAGAAGCACCGGCUAACUCCGUGCCAGCAACCGCGGUAAUUC
rnacentral:rRNA from 1 species